UACGUAGGGUGCGAGCGUUAAUCGGAAUUACUGGGCGUAAAGCGUGCGCAGGCGGUUCGCUAAGACCGAUGUGAAAUCCCCGGGCUUAACCUGGGAACUGCAUUGGUGACUGGCGGGCUAGAGUGUGGCAGAGGGGGGUAGAAUUCCACGUGUAGCAGUGAAAUGCGUAGAGAUGUGGAGGAAUACCGAUGGCGAAGGCAGCCCCCUGGGCUGACACUGACGCUCAUGCACGAAAGCGUGGGGAGCAAACAGG
rnacentral:rRNA from 1 species